GGGAGGACUGAUAUGAUCGUGGAGGUUGUUAAAGACCUUGUUGGAGGGAAGGAUCGAUGGUUUGAGAGUAUGUAACUUCGAGUUUCUGGUUACUUCACAUCUAUACUAAUGGCUAUUGUUGGUGAGGUUUUGGAUCGGAUGAUUGGGAAACGCUUCUUCUCCGUGACGUCUUCAGGGCAUCGUCUCCUUCCAUUUCCUAGUCUGAAAACAAAACGGAACGGAGGAGUGAGGAGUGAGGACUGAUCUGAGCUUUUGGUAUUGAUUAGAGGUGGGCGUUGAUUGAUUUAUUUGACUCUCUCUCUCUCUCGUUGAUGAUUCAGAACACAAUCGUCGCCAACGUGCUUGCUUAAGAGCAAGGAGAUCAUCAUCAUUCAAGGAAGGUAGAGACCAUGUACAACUAAUUCCAUUGAAUGACACCAUUCCAUGAGCCAACGUCCAACAACAAGAAGAAGAACACCUCCAGGAACCUGAGACGAAGUGGAAUAAAUAAUGGUGUCACCACAUUCCUAUAGGUCUUAGACCAAGUCUUCCCAAAGGUACACUCUCUUCUUAUUGACACUCUUGUAGUCAUUCCAUCACUGAUCAGGGUUCCGAGCCAACGCUGCAGUCAAGCAAUGGCCAAGGAGAUGGCCUUGUUAGCCUUCAAUCGGGCUCUUAACCAGAGUAUAUCCGGUUCUUGGUGUUGGGUUUCUACGGCAUCUUUGGCAACUUCUCGUCCAAAGCGUGGAAAUCACAGAUAUGGUGCAAAUGAGGAUGGGAGGACCUUGUUGUUUCCAUGGCGGAAACGAGUGUCACAAACAUAGCUGCUAGCUAGCUCUACCAAUCCAUGAAUGGGACCAUGAGAAACAUCUAAGAAGAAGUAGAAGAAGAACCCCUCAAGGAAGAUCAUUAUUCAAGACUAGAGACCAUGUUCAACUUCCAUGAAUGGGACCAUGUGCAAACGUCCAAGAAGAAGAAGAAGAACCCUCAAGGAUAAAGUGCCGUGUUAGAACCAGUAGCUACAACACAAAUCAAGCCUCAGGAGAUAACAAGUUAAUCCUACCGAAGCAAGCACAGAGAUCGCGGAGAUGCUUUCAAGAACGAAAACUGAUUCUAUUGGAUUGAUGGUGUUUGACCAAGUACAGGUUUACAGACCAUAGCAAGUUUCGUCAAGAACCAUCCGUGGCCUAACGUUGAUCGUUAUCACUUAAGCCUGACUAAUCACAUGCCUUGUUUUGUUGAAUCUUGGUUAUAAUUAAUAGAGUGACCUUUUCUUUCAGAUUUAGAUACUAAUACACCGUGAUUUUUGGCUGUCUCAAGGAAUCUCGUCAUCUGGUCACAGCUGAUAUGGGACUGCCGCUAGAGCGGCCAAAGAGUGUAAACAUGUCAUCCCAAAGGUGAAACUUUGCAACUUCGUGUCGCGCUUAAGCUCAGAGUGGUCUGUCCCAGCUCUUGAAAAAUAUUGGCCUUGGGAGUUCCAACUCAACAAAUUUGAGAGAUAAGAGACAGAGAGAGAUCGUUCUAAUGGUGACAAGAGAGCAACAUGAUGAUGGUUCGAAUCUACUACUCAACCGGUCCAUGAAUUGUGAGUCGAAUUUGCUUUCUAAACAAGUCAGACAGAGAGGUGGGCGUUGAUUGAUUUAUUUGACUCUCUCUCUCUCUCGUUGAUGAUUCAUAACACAAUCGUCGCCAACGUGCUUGCUUAAGGUCAAGGAGAUCAUCAUUGAAAGAGGUAGAGAGCAUGUACAACGUAUUCCAUUAAUGACACCAUUCUUUGAGCCAACGUCCAAGAACAGAAGAAGAAGAACACCUCCAGGGACCUGAGACAAGUGGAAUUGAUAAUGAUGCUGGUUGUUCCUGUUCUCGUAGUGUCACCACAUUCCUAUAGGCUGACAUCCUUGUUCGUGGUUUUGCUGGUUUGCCUUGAAGGUCUUAGACCAUGUCUUCCCAAAGAUCAUGAGGAACCCGGGUUACUGUGUGGGAGGUUCGAAGAGAAAGAAAAAUCAUUGUGGGAGUGCGUUUGAUUUCUGAGUUCAACUUUCAGUUAACAGUAAUGUCGCUGAUCUCCCUAGUGAUGCUGGCAUGUAUGUUUUAACUUUUAAGCCUAAGACCCUAUAUUUUAGUGGAGGAGGAUGUUUUGAUCGGCUGGGGAUGGUUUUGGGAUCGUUUUGUCUUCUCUGCGCUACAUCUUCAGGCUUUUGAUGAUGCUUUUAUUGAUGAGAGUGAUGGCUUUGAUGGACACGCUUAUUCUCUGUGCUACUUCUUCAAAGGGUGUUUUGGAAGCUAGUUAUGAUAUGAUCAUGGCGUAUUCUUCUCCAUGCUGCCACUUCUUCAGCCACGUUCUCACAGAUUCGUGGAGGCUUUGAUCGCUGAUGGCUUUGACUGAUCGUUGUCACUCUAAUUCAUGUUAUUCUUCUAGGAUUGUGGAGGAAAGAGGAUGCUUUGAUCGGUUGGUGAUGGUUUUGAUGGAUCGUUUUUGUCUUCUUUGCGGUACAUCUUUCAGAUCAUAAGGCACCAGGUGGGAGGUUCGAAGAGAGGAAAAAAAACAUUGUGGGGAGUGCGUAUGAUCAGGUCUUUUGGAAGCAAACCAUGAUCCAAUCAUCAGUAUUCUAAUCCAUGUAAUUGUCUUCAGGCGUCCUCAUGGGUUCCUUGCUCCAAUCAUCACUCUCUUACUCAUGUUGCUCUUCUAGAAUUGUGGAGGAGGAUGCUUUGAUCGGUUGGUGACAGUUUCGAUGGCUUGUAUUUGUCCUCUCUGCGUCGCCUACGUGCUUAAAAAGAGUAAAGUUGGUUCUUCUCAUUGAGGGAGACACUGGUUCGGGUAAGACUAUACAAUUAUCACAAACAAUAUCUCCAUGGAGCUGGUUUGAGAGGAAAGAGGAAAGAGCAAGUUGAGGCGCUGUGAAAAAGAGUUGUCUCAUCGUGCGGCUGUGCCAGGAUGUACAAGGAUGGUAGCAUCAUUCCAUUAGAUGAUUCUUUGGGUUUUGCUGCAAAUUUUUGACUCAUGCUGGGAUAUGGUAGUCCCCAGAUGAAAGAGCUCAUGAGGUUUUAUCUCACCAUGCCGUUGAGUAUGUUGGUUGUGGAGAGAGAGAGAGAGAUGAAAUGGCUGAGGAUAGAGAGCUAUUAGAACCAGUAGCUACAACACAAAGCAAGCCGCAGGAAAUAUCAAGUUACUCUUACCGAAGCAAGCACAUGCAUUGUAUGGAGAAUUAGGGUUCCUGGAGCUUCGAACUCAAAACCAUGUCUAUCUAUGGUCCAAUUUACUCGCUCAGGAUUGAUAGAAUUGCUCGUGUUGUCUUGGAGACUGCUCAGAAACGCGCAAGCUGUGUUCUGCUGAUAAAGCUGAUCUCUAUGGCCUCAAUUUUAUGGAAGAAACGAGUAAGAGAGCCUCUGAAUAUCCUGAUGCUGAGCUGUAACAUAUGUAUGUUGACAAUGCUGCGAUGACCCGCCAACAGCUUCAAUGAUCACAGGAAGCAUUGGAAUGCUGGCAUGCCGUCCAUUGCUCAAGUAUUUCUAAUUGGCCAGAUUCUCCUUGUCCAGUGUGUCGAUACUGCCAACAGCGACCUGAAAAUUUAGUACGUUGUGUUCGCCAAACAACGGAAAAUUUCUGGAUGUGUGUUAUAUAUGUCAAAUGAUUACUUACACAAUCUCAUCAAGCACCGCUUGGGAGAUCUUUCCUAAUGCUAAGUGUCUCAGAAGUUCGAAGACCCAGCAGAAGGGGAGGAUACACUGGUGGCAAAAAUUCAAGAAAUUAUACGACCAUCUCAGUACUGGAUUUCGUGCCUUGGUGGAUGGAACUCGGUUACGAGCCAAUACUGCACCCAAGCAAUGGCCAAGGAGAUGGCCUUGUUAGCCUUCAAUCGGGCUCUUACUUAAGCUGUCUAACUUCCUUUAUUUGGUGUUUUAGAAUAUCUGGUUCUUGGUGUUGGUUUUAUGGGAUCUUUGCCAACUUCUCGUCCAAAGCGUGGGGAUCACAGGGCCAAGGUUGGUUCUUGUCAUUGUGGGAGACACUGGUUCGGGAAAGACUACACAAUAUCUCCAUGAAGCUGGUUGAAAGGUACGACCUACUACUUGCCCCAACUACCCAAUAUUUCUUUUGCAGGUUUCUGGGAAGCCUGGGAUCACAGGUGUUUCAGCUCGCUAGGUCUCACAGCUUUAUGUAGUGGUGCCUCCUAUUCUACCUGAGCUGGGAAAGUCCGGAACCUGUGGCCUACGUCGAUUCUCAUAGCGGAGUGCUGCUGAGUUAGAUUUUGUACCGAGACCUACUCUUCAAUUUUUUGACGUCUGGUUAUUGUAGGAGUUGCUCAAUAGCAUUUUUGUUUCUGAUUAUGCUUAAGUUGAUCACAUGGCUCAUGUUGCAUUUGAGAUUGCUACGCAAAGGUGCGGUAAAUUUUGUUCUGUUGAAAAGGGCCACAAGCCUACUAUUUUGGAGGGAAACGAGUGUGAAAAACAUAGCUAGCACUACCAAACUGAUUAUGGAAAGUCAAGCCAUCGAAAGGCAAAAGCUAGAUGAUGCAAACUCAAGACAGAACCAGCAACGCAGCUGGUCUACAGGAAAUAAUGCUGU